CCUACAGGGGGCAGCAGUGGGGAAUAUUGGACAAUGGGGGCAACCCUGAUCCAGCCAUGCCGCGUGUGUGAAGAAGGCCCUCGGGUUGUAAAGCACUUUCAGUGAGGAAGAACGCCUGGUGGUUAAUACCCAUCAGGAAAGACAUCACUCACAGAAGAAGCACCGGCUAACUCCGUGCCAGCAGCCGCGGUAAUACGGAGGGUGCGAGCGUUAAUCGGAAUUACUGGGCGUAAAGCGCGCGUAGGUGGCUUGAUAAGCCGGUUGUGAAAGCCCCGGGCUCAACCUGGGAACGGCAUCCGGAACUGUCAAGCUAGAGUGCAGGAGAGGAAGGUAGAAUUCCCGGUGUAGCGGUGAAAUGCGUAGAGAUCGGGAGGAAUACCAGUGGCGAAGGCGGCCUUCUGGACUGACACUGACACUGAGGUGCGAAAGCGUGGGUAGCAAACAGGAUUAGAUACCCGUGUAGUC
rnacentral:rRNA from 1 species